rnacentral:rRNA from 1 species
UACGGAGGGUGCGAGCGUUAAUCGGAAUUACUGGGCGUAAAGGGUGCGUAGGUGGUUGAAUAAGUUAUGUGUGAAAUUCCUGGGCUUAACCUGGGGUGGUCAUAUAAUACUGUUUGACUGGAGUAUGGGAGAGGGUAGUGGAAUUUCCGGUGUAGCGGUGAAAUGCGUAGAGAUCGGAAGGAACACCAGUGGCGAAGGCGGCUACCUGGCCUAAUACUGACACUGAGGCACGAAAGCGUGGGGAGCAAACAGG